AACAUCUUCUUAUAAAUAGAAGGAUGUGCAAGUGACUGGAGCUCAAAUGCAGUUAAAAUUAGUAUACCUGAGUGAAAUUGUUGUGUAGAUGGAGAAUUUUUGGAUGUUAGUCCACGUCGGCUGUCAAUAACCGGUUGUUUUGUUUGUAAUUGUAAUUGAGCCACGAAACGGGAAUAUAGCCGAAGGAAAACAGUGGACAGCAUACGUUGAUUGAUCGAUGACGGUGACGGUGAGACCGGACGGCAACUCCGGUGCGCCACCGGAACGGUGGAAAAUGACCCUGCUUCUUCGUCAUCCGUACGGCGGUUACCAUCAGUUUAAUCACUAAGGGGCUGUUUGUUUAUCUCAUGAGACUCUUAAUGGUUCAGACCUCUUACUGAUUCAUUACUUAACGGUUCAGACUGUUUGUUUCAUGAGCAGAUGUCUGAAUGGUUCAGACAUUUGCCUCUGAAUGGUUAAGAUUUAUACAAAGUCUGAAUGGUUUAGACCACUAAUCUGAAUUGGUCAGACAUUUGCCUCUGAACGGUUAAGCAUUAUACAGGCUCUUAAUGGUUCAGACCUCUUACUGGUUCAGCACUUAAUGGUUCAGACCUCUUACUAGUUCAGCACUUAACCAUUCAGAUGUUGCCAAACAACCCCUAACUAUUGUUGUUACGUACGGAUAAUUUGUAGUUUAAUUAGUAUUUUUAUUAACAUAUGUUUGUUCACUAAAGCCAGCUCAU
rnacentral:lncRNA from 1 species